rnacentral:rRNA from 1 species
AAUGAACGCUGACAGAAUGCUUAACACAUGCAAGUCGAUGGGGAAGUGGUGCUUGUACCAUGGUAACCAUGGCGGACGGGUGAGUAACGCGUAAGGGACUUGCCCGCGGGACCGGGAUAACAGCAGGAAACUGCUGACAAGACCGGAUAAGGUCAUGGAGCCGCAUGGUUACAUGAUGAAAGGAGACGCCUGCGGAGAGCCUUGCGUCCUAUUAGCUAGUUGGGGGGGUAACGGCCCACCAAGGCGAAGAUAGGUAGCCGGCCUGAGAGGGUGGACGGCCACAAGGGGACUGAGAUACGGCCCUUACUCCUACGGGAGGCAGUAGUGGGGAAUAUUGGACAAUGGGGGCAACCCUGAUCCAGCAAUUCUGUGUGCACGAAGACGGUUUUCGGAUUGUAAAGUGCUUUCAGCAGGGAAGAAGUAAGUGACGGUACCUGCAGAAGAAGCGACGGCUAAAUACGUGCCAGCAGCCGCGGUAAUACGUAUGUCGCGAGCGUUAUCCGGAAUUAUUGGGCAUAAAGGGCAUCUAGGCGGCCUGACAAGUCAGGGGUGAAAACCUGCGGCUCAACCGCAGGCCUGCCUUUGAAACUGACAGGCUGGAGUACCGGAGAGGUGGACGGAACUGCACGAGUAGAGGUGAAAUUCGUAGAUAUGUGCAGGAAUGCCGAUGAUGAAGAUAGUUCACUGGACGGUAACUGACGCUGAAGUGCGAAAGCCGGGGGAGCGAACAGG